rnacentral:lncRNA from 1 species
GAGAGAAGCCAUCGUAGUAUCAGUAUUGUAAUUCUUUUGUCAUGUUUUGUGGGAGCGAAGUCUUCGUAGUAUCAAUAUUAUAAUUCUUUUGUCAUGUUUUGUAGGAGAGAAGUCUUCUUAGUAUCAGUAUUAUAAUUCUUUUGUCAUGUUUUGUAGGAGAGAAGUCUUCGAAGUAUCAGUAUUGUAGUUCUUUUGUCGUUUUUUGUAGGAGAGAAGCCAUCGUAGUAUCAGUAUUGUAAUUCUUUUGUCAUGUUUUGUGGGAGCGAAGUCUUCGUAGUAUGAAUAUUAUAAUUCUUUUGUCAUGUUUUGUAGGAGAGAAGUCGUCGUAGUAUCAGUAUUAUAAUUCUUUUGUCAUGUUUUGUAGGAGAGAAGUCUUCGUAGUAUCAGUAUUGUAAUUCUUUUGUCAUGUUUUAUGGGAGAGAAGUCUCCUUAGUAUCAAUAUUGUAGUUCUUUUGUC